AAUUUGUGAAAAACAAUAAGAGCCUGUUGAUUGGUCUACAUCUCACCAUGAUUGUAACUAUUUGGAUAUGGUGAAGGUCAAAUAUAGAACUUUUCAAAUUGAAUGUUCAAAAUCUCAGUUUGUUGGUAAGUUACCCUCUAUGUUUGUCGAAGAAUUUGGAUCUGAGAUGCAUAAAUACAACAUGUUGGUGGAUUAUUUUGGUAAUCAGUUUGAAGUUAUUGUUGAAAUACGAGGUGAUGAUUUAUGUUUCACCCAUGUAUGGUCUGAGAUCAGUAAUUGUUAUUUUGAUGAUGGUGCCA